rnacentral:rRNA from 1 species
AGUGAACGCUGGCGGUAGGCCUAACACAUGCAAGUCGAACGGCAGCACAGUAAGAGCUUGCUCUUACGGGUGGCGAGUGGCGGACGGGUGAGGAAUACAUCGGAAUCUACUUUUUCGUGGGGGAUAAAGUAGGGAAACUUACGCUAAUACCGCAUACGACCUACGGGUGAAAGCAGGGGAUCUUCGGCCCUUGCGCGAUUGAAUGAGCCGAUGUCGGAUUAGCUAGUUGGCGGGGUAAAGGCCCACCAAGGCGACGAUCCGUAGCUGGUCUGAGAGGAUGAUCAGCCACACUGGAACUGAGACACGGUCCAGACUCCUACGGGAGGCAGCAGUGGGGAAUAUUGGACAAUGGGCGCAAGCCUGAUCCAGCCAUACCGCGUGGGUGAAGAAGGCCUUCGGGUUGUAAAGCCCUUUUGUUGGGAAAGAAAAGCAGCAGGUUAAUACCCCGCUGUUCUGACGGUACCCAAAGAAUAAGCACCGGCUAACUUCGUG